UGUCCAUGCAUCAUAAACUUAUUGAUGGGGCUAUGCUUAGUACCACUGGCCAUUUUCCUGAUAUUCCCCAUAGCCAAACACAUGUUUUUAUUGCCAGAAAGCAGAGCUGUUUCUGGUUCUAGCCAUGUGGACAGCAAGUUAGUGUGGUUUUUUCUUUUUUUUUUUUUUUUCAAUCAGAAGAUGUGCAGUAUAUCUUGCUGCUGACACUGAUGGCAGCAGGGUGAACACUGCAGGGUUUGGGUUGCCUUUUCUUUUUAGGUCCAAAUGGAAAUGGGUUCAUCUGGAAGGCCUUUUGACACUUGCCAUUGAGUCAGCAGAUGGAAAAUAUUUGGCUCUUAGAGGCAGCCUGUGUCCCCCAGAUAGGAGAAACUGCAGGUCUAGUGAGAGACAAAUUGUGAUAUUUAUGGUAUGCUUAGUUAUGCAAACUUCUUAAUUUUGCUGUAGUCUCAGUGUAGGAAACCUUCCUAACUGGACUCCCUGUUUCUUCCCAGCCUGGCUCCUUCCCCAUGCCAGCAGCAGGACUCCUGGACCUGGCAGAGUGCAUCUCCAUCACCCUGAAGGAAAGUUGUGUGUUAGAUAAAGCCACCAAAUGGGUGUCUGAGCUCCUGAAAGAGGCCAGGCUGGCUGUGUUCCCUGGCUGCCCCUUCCCCACUUGGGACAGGUCUGCACAGAGCCAGCACUGCUUCCCACUCAGGAAAGCAGGAUUUAACAGGCCAAACUCCUGGACUUCACACCUUCACCUGAUACUUGCUGUGUGAGCAAGCAGAGAGAGGAGCAGCUGAAGACAGAAGAGAAAACCAGCAAGUUACUAAUACUGGUCUGUAGCAGGAGUCAGGACUCUGCACAUCAGAUCCAGGAUGAGUCAUCUCACUGCUCUGGAUCCUGCCUAUCCACCCUCCUUCAAAAGCACAACAACUUCAGCUGAUGCCUACGAGUCCUAAACAGAGCAAAGGAUAAUUCAGUGUUUCACAGGCAGAAUCCCUGUUUAUAUAACCCCAGGUGUUUGCCUUGUUUAAAUAUCAUGAGGAAGCACAAGGCUAAUAAAGACCAGCUAUUAUUACAAAUGUUUAGCAUUCUUUGUUCCCCACUUCUGCAAUUCAUUAUUCUACCUAAAAACAGACUUUGUCAUUACUAAGCUCAAUCCUGUUUCUCAAGAGUAUUUUGCAAUUUUACAAGAUCAUUCUUUAUUUUAACCCAGGCCAUCAACAUAGUUGCCAUCCCAAAUUAAACAAAUCAAUAUUUAUCAUUUUCCUGCCAGUUAAGUUAUUAUUGAACAGAAGAAAUAAUAAUGGCUAUUACAACAGUCAUGGACAAGCAGAAUUCCAGCCAGCACCCCAGUUUGGUAGUGAAUUUACUUAUAGCUACUUUCCAAUAGUGGCUUUGCAAGUACAAAAACUCCCCCUCUCUGCCCAAAUCAAAGCCUCCUCUUGUAAUGUCAGCCAUAACCACUGGCAGUUGGUAUUUUUUCAACUCCAUUCAAGAUCAAAGACAUGCAGCAUGGCCCCUGUCAAGAAGCAGUACAGCUGAACAUUGUGAUGGGCAGCCAAAAUCCUACAGAGGUUUGCCAGACUGCAACUGCGAGCUGGAGCAGCAUUUAAGGGAGUAUCACACCUGCACUGGACAUUUUCAGAGAGGCAGGUAGUG